GCCGUAUUGGAUGUCAUUGAUCCAACAUAUAAUGGAUGAGAGAUCAAGGUGUAUGUCAGUUUGAAAGAAGUACAAGUAACCAACAAUAAUCACCCUUUCAUUUCACCGGUAAGUCUUCGAUUAGUAUGCCUUAUUUGGAAAAAGAGGCAAGAAUUUGGUCGUAUGCAUAUCUGACUUCUCAUUUGAAUUCCACAUACAAACAGUUGAAUCAUUGCCACG
rnacentral:lncRNA from 1 species